CUAAUUGUUGUCUUCUAAUAAUUCUGAAUUGAUAAGCUCAUCCAAUAAGCUCAUUUGCACAUCUUUGAUUGCUAUGACCAAGUUCUCGAGUUUUCUUAAUAUUAUAUUGGAGAGCUUAUUGCUUAGGAACCCAUAUAGAUCUUGCGUCUAAAGAUACCAUCUAAUACAUGAUCCUUCACAUACCAAUCACUUCGUAGAUAUCAUCUAAUAAUACUCGAGCUUCUUAUAUUCUAUUGAAGAUACUAGAUAUCAUUUAUUGAUUCAUAAUCUCAUUCAUGGAAUAACGCACCAAGAUAAGGAGGAAGAAAAGGUUAAUCAUAGGGUUUUCUUACUUACACUCGAUUUUGGUUAAUUCAGAUUAGGGGUUUCUUUUCUCCGUUGAACUUUUAAGUGAUUCUGUUUGAUUCGAUUUAAUGUUUUUUUCCCCAAAAUAUUGAUUUGAUUGAGCAUACCGUGCAUUUAAUUUCUCAUGCUUACCCUUCUGCUUCCUGAGUGAAGCUAUACAGGGAGAGCUUGAAAUACUAUCUAUGGAUAACUUGAUAAGCAGGUGAACUACAAUUUCAAUCUGCAACUAUAAUUGAGAUAUCUCGAUUGGAUGCUUGGUAUUCAACCAAGGAGGGAUCCGUGGAAGGCCCUGGUGUCGUCCUCCUGAAAUUAUUCUUCGCUUUAUGAAGUUGAUUGUGACAAGUCGUAUAAUAGUGGACACGUGGAUUACAUAUAUAAAUGGGUCAUGAAGAAUGGAGGAACGACACCAGGGGAGAUUAUUCAUAUCAAACUGGAGACAUACAGAACCUGCGAUCAGAAAAAGUUAAGAAAAUGUCUGUUAACCAUUGAUGGUUAUGCCGACAUACCAGAAACGGCAAAGGAUUACUUAAAGAUGUUGUAACUCAACCUGUGAGUGUGGGUAUAUGCGCCAGUGAUGCGGCAUUCCAACUGUAUCUACUGAAGGGGAGCUUCAGCAGAUCAUGUUGAAUGCACUUGGACCAUGCUAUGUUGACUGCGGGGUAAGGGUUUGAAAAUGGGGUCGAUUACUGGAUCUUAAAAAUCUCGUGGGAAACAAAUUGGGGAUGAAAGGUUACAUUCAUGUUAUGUAAUGGUCCAAUUAAAGUAGAUAUUAGUGGCAUAAACAUCCUAACUUCAUACCCACCUGAGACGAGUCCAAAUCCACCAACUGUUGCUAACCUUCUCAAACCAACGAAAUGCAUGCAGUCUUUUACCAAGUGUGCCGUAGGGGAAUUUUUCCGUUGUGGUCAGAGUUUACUAUGGUAUAAAUGUUGCUCACUGAAUGUUAUUAUGUGUUUUAAAGACUGCGAGCAUUGCUUCCCGCAAGAUUAUCCAAUUCAUUAUACAGAAACAAGACAAUGCUUUAGGUUUUUAUUUGCAUUAUCUGCACCUUAAUUUGGUCGGUCAAACUAAAAAACGAAAACAUAAAAAAAUGAUUUUCUUUUUUGGUUCUGCUCGAGAAGCAGAACAAAAAGAAAAAAUGUCAUUUUGUGGUUAGACAACAAAGAAAUAGUUCUUUUAGUUUUAACCAAUUGAACAAAUUAGUGGUUGUUUUUCUGUCAUUUGGUAAACAGGCAUCACAAAAUACUAGAUGAUGAUGAAAGGAGCUUGAAGAAAGAGGCUCUUCGGGAAAUUCAGAGGUUGAAGUGACUAUGGCAGCUGUAACAAAAUUGACAAUUAUGGCAGCCGUAACAAAAAUUAUUGGCAUUUAAACUCUUACUA